AAGGUGAAACCGCGAAAGGCUCAUUAAAUCAGUUAUGGUUCCUUAGAUCGUACCCACAAUUACUUGGAUAACUGUGGUAAUUCUAGAGCUAAUACAUGCAAACAGAGCUCCGACCGGAGACGGAAGGAGUGCUUUUAUUAGAUCAAAACCGAUCGGUGGCGGGUUCGCCCGUUAUCGUACAACUUGGUGACUCUGAAUAACUUUACGCUGAUCGCACGGUCAUCGCACCGGCGACGCAUCUUUCAAAUGUCUGCCUUAUCAACUGUCGAUGGUAGGUUCUGCGCCUACCAUGGUUGUAACGGGUAACGGGGAAUCAGGGUUCGAUUCCGGAGAGGGAGCCUGAGAAACGGCUACCACAUCCAAGGAAGGCAGCAGGCGCGCAAAUUACCCACUCCCGGCACGGGGAGGUAGUGACGAAAAAUAACGAUACGGGACUCAUCCGAGGCCCCGUAAUCGGAAUGAGUACACUCUAAACCCUUUAACGAGGAUCAAUUGGAGGGCAAGUCUGGUGCC
rnacentral:rRNA from 1 species